CGGCGGACGGGUGAGUAACGCGUGGGUAACCUGCCUCAUACAGGGGGAUAACAGUUGGAAACGGCUGCUAAUACCGCAUAAGCGCACAGUACCGCAUGGUACCGUGUGAAAAACUCCGGUGGUAUGAGGUGGACCCGCGUCUGAUUAGCUAGUUGGUGGGGUAACGGCCUACCAAGGCGACGAUCAGUAGCCGACCUGAGAGGGUGACCGGCCACAUUGGGACUGAGACACGGCCCAA
rnacentral:rRNA from 1 species